rnacentral:rRNA from 1 species
CGCGGCCUAUCAGCUUGUUGGUGAGGUAAUGGCUCACCAAGGCGACGACGGGUAGCCGGCCUGAGAGGGCGACCGGCCACACUGGGACUGAGACACGGCCCAGACUCCUACGGGAGGCAGCAGUGGGGAAUAUUGCACAAUGGGCGAAAGCCUGAUGCAGCGACGCCGCGUGAGGGAUGACGGCCUUCGGGUUGUAAACCUCUUUCAGCAGGGAAGAAGCGAAAGUGACGGUACCUGCAGAAGAAGCACCGGCUAACUACGUGCCAGCAGCCGCGGUAAUACGUAGGGUGCGAGCGUUGUCCGGAAUUAUUGGGCGUAAAGAGCUUGUAGGCGGUUUGUCGCGUCUGCUGUGAAAAUCCGGGGCUCAACCCCGGACUUGCAGUGGGUACGGGCAGACUAGAGUGUGGUAGGGGAGACUGGAAUUCCUGGUGUAGCGGUGAAAUGCGCAGAUAUCAGGAGGAACACCGAUGGCGAAGGCAGGUCUCUGGGCCACUACUGACGCUGAGAAGCGAAAGCAUGGGGAGCGAACAGGAUUAGAUACCCUGGUAGUCCAUGCCGUAAACGUUGGGAACUAGGUGUGGGUCUCAUUCCACGAGAUCCGUGCCGCAGCUAACGCAUUAAGUUCCCCGCCUGGGGAGUACGG